rnacentral:misc_RNA from 1 species
AAACUACAAGGGGAGCCGAAGCUCCCCCAGAAAGUAGUUGCGUGCUCUAUUUUUAUUAUUGAUUUCGGGCUUCUUGUUUUUGUUGAUCGCCCUCGCCAUGAGAUUUGACCUUCAUGACACUCCCAAUCGGGAGUCAAGAGCAAACGGAUUGCUUUGGUCGCUGUGUUGCUAUGAUCAAUGAUCCAACCAGUUCAGGCUCUGCCUUAGGGCAGUU